rnacentral:lncRNA from 1 species
CGGCGCGCGCCCGGGCGCCCGCGGAGGCGGCGGCGCUGGGACCCCCCUCCCCACUUCCCUCGGGGUUCCUGUGUGUCCGGGGGGUGAGCGAGCUCCCCUGAUUCCUGGUGCGGGCUCGGGCCUGGGGCGCGGCCGCACCCCUCACCCACAGCGGCGCGGGGGCCCAGCCGUGGGGAACGCCCUCCCGGGAUGAAGCGCUUCCCGGAAAACAUAUAAUGCAAACAGCCAUAUAAUAAAUGACGACGUCUCAAUGCCAGGAUGUCCUGGGCCAUUACAAGUUGCCAAGCCCUGGGCUGACACCUGGACCACCAGCCCGUUCAUUCAACGCUGACAACUACUCCGGGAUGGGACCCUUAUUUUACAGACCAAGAGACACAAGCACCGAGGAGCAAAUGUACCCUUAUAGCUCUGGCUGGACAGUUGUGAUGGUUUACAUCUGUAGCGUCCGUCCUUUGGGGGCAGAGACAGGAGGAUUAUUAAUUUGAAGCCAGACUGGGUUACCUAGUGAGACCUCAUGUCAAACAACAACACACAAAUGUCAGAUUGACCGCAAGUGGGUGAGCUGAGGAUGUCAGACAUAUUCAUGAUGUCAUUAUUUCUAUCAUAAACCACUAUACCAUGUUACCCACCUCUUUAAAGAACACACAAUAAACCUAUUAAUUAUAGAUGGUUCUGGGUUGUCUAUUUAUUGUGCUAGAAUGAGAGUCCCUGACAGCAGGGACCCAGGGCUAAGCCUCUUUGAAUUUCCCUCCAUCC